rnacentral:rRNA from 1 species
UUUAAAUGAAGACCAGAACAAAAGAUUAAACGUUUAAAUUUAUAUCUAUAUCUAAAUUAUCUAAUUUAUCUUAAAUGUAAAAAGACAUUUAUAAAAAAGAAAGACGACAAGACCCUAUUGAACUUAACUUAAGUUAAACUGGGGCAGUUAAUUAAUAAUAAUUUUAAUUUUCAAUCUAAACUAAAUAAUCCAAUACUAUUGAAACGAUCAAGUUACCAUAGGGAUAACAGCGUAAUAAUUUUCUAAAGACCUUAUAAAAACAAAAGUUUGCGACCUCGAUGUUGAAUUAAUAACCUAUUUAGAGUAAAAACUAAUUAAGGAAGUCUGUUCGACUUUUAAAAAAUUACAUGAUUUGAGUUCAGACCGGUAUAAGCCAGGUCGGUUUCUAUCUUCUAUUUAAUUCCUGUAGUACGAAAGGGCCCAAGAAAAUAA